GGGGUGCGCCGGACCGCCGACGAAUAAGAGGUACCCCCACACCCCAGGCAGAGUUAGUGAGCCGUGUAAUAGGCGACCAUUUCGCGCGGUUCGGGGGGCACUUGAGUCAGCCGCCGGCGCAUAAGUGAGUAGGGGCUGCGUCUUGACCCCUAU